rnacentral:rRNA from 1 species
CGACUGGUCCUGUGGGCAUAUACAUGCAAGUCGAGCGGACGAGAUGCAGAGCUUGCUCCCUGAUGUUAGCGGCGGACGGGUGAGUAACACGUGGGUAACCUGCCUGUAAGACUGGGAUAACUCCGGGAAACCGGGGCUAAUACCGGAUGGUUGUUUGAACCGCAUGGUUCAAACAUAAAAGGUGGCUUCGGCUACCACUUACAGAUGGACCCGCGGCGCAUUAGCUAGUUGGUGAGGUAAUGGCUCACCAAGGCAACGAUGCGUAGCCGACCUGAGAGGGUGAUCGGCCACACUGGGACUGAGACACGGCCCAGACUCCUACGGGAGGCAGCAGUAGGGAAUCUUCCGCAAUGGACGAAAGUCUGACGGAGCAACGCCGCGUGAGUGAUGAAGGUUUUCGGAUCGUAAAGCUCUGUUGUUAGGGAAGAACAAGUACCGUUCGAAUAGGGCGGUACCUUGACGGUACCUAACCAGAAAGCCACGGCUAACUACGUGCCAGCAGCCGCGGUAAUACGUAGGUGGCAAGCGUUGUCCGGAAUUAUUGGGCGUAAAGGGCUCGCAGGCGGUUUCUUAAGUCUGAUGUGAAAGCCCCCGGCUCAACCGGGGAGGGUCAUUGGAAACAGGGGAACUUGAGUGCAGAAGAGGAGAGUGGAAUUCCACGUGUAGCGGUGAAAUGCGUAGAGAACAGUAGGAACACCAGUGGCGAAGGCGACUCUCUGGUCUGAAACUGACGCUGAGGAGCGAAAGCGUGGGGAGCGAACAGGAUUAGAUACCCUGGUAGUCCACGCCGUAAACGAUGAGUGCUAAGUGUUAGCCGGAUUCUGCCCCUUAGUGCUGCAGCUAACGCAUUAAGCACUCCGCCCUGGCGGAGUACGGUCGGGAGACUGAAACUCAAAAGAAUAGACGGGGCGCGCACAACCUGUGGAGCAUGUGGUUUAAUUGAUAGCAACGCGAAGAACCACACCACGUCUUGACAUCAUCUGACAUUCGUAGAGAUUAG